rnacentral:rRNA from 1 species
GACGAACGCUGGCGGCGUGCUUAACACAUGCAAGUCGAGCGAUGAAGUUCCUUCGGGAAUGGAUUAGCGGCGGACGGGUGAGUAACACGUGGGUAACUUGCCUCAUAGAGGGGAAUAGCCUUUCGAAAGGAAGAUUAAUACCGCAUAAGAUUGUAGUACCGCAUGGUACAGCAAUUAAAGGAGUAAUCCGCUAUGAGAUGGACCCGCGUCGCAUUAGCUAGUUGGUGAGGUAACGGCUCACCAAGGCGACGAUGCGUAGCCGACCUGAGAGGGUGAUCGGCCACAUUGGGACUGAGACACGGCCCAGACUCCUACGGGAGGCAGCAGUGGGGAAUAUUGCACAAUGGGGGAAACCCUGAUGCAGCAACGCCGCGUGAGUGAUGACGGUCUUCGGAUUGUAAAACUCUGUCUUCAGGGACGAUAAUGACGGUACCUGAGGAGGAAGCCACGGCUAACUACGUGCCAGCCGCCGCGGUAA